AAACGGUCGAUGAACGAAACGAGUACGUUUGUAAAGACGGUUGCAGCGAGCCGACGGCGGUGAGAGGUCGGUACAGUCGACAGGCGGAAUGGAUUCGCGAGAUGCGUCCUGAAAGGCGACGAGUAGGGUGCGACGGUGUAUCUCCACCGUUAUGAAAGAGACUUGUAUCGCAGAUGCCGUACAUGUGGAGCCGGGCUUCUAGCCAAUAAGGGUGGUACCGCGGAAGAGUAAUGACCUUUCGUCCCUAUA
rnacentral:ncRNA from 1 species